rnacentral:rRNA from 1 species
CGGGUAAACGAGGAGCUAAUACCGGAUAAUAUAUUGAACCGCAUGGUUCAAUAGUGAAAGACGGUUUUGCUGUCACUUAUAGAUGGAUCCGCGCCGCAUUAGCUAGUUGGUAAGGUAACGGCUUACCAAGGCAACGAUGCGUAGCCGACCUGAGAGGGUGAUCGGCCACACUGGAACUGAGACACGGUCCAGACUCCUACGGGAGGCAGCAGCU